rnacentral:rRNA from 1 species
UACGUAGGGUGCAAGCGUUGUCCGGAAUUAUUGGGCGUAAAGAGCUCGUAGGCGGUCUGUCGCGUCGGCUGUGAAAACUCGGGGCUCAACUCCGAGCUUGCAGUCGAUACGGGCAGGCUAGAGUUCGGCAGGGGAGACUGGAAUUCCUGGUGUAGCGGUGAAAUGCGCAGAUAUCAGGAGGAACACCGAUGGCGAAGGCGGGUCUCUGGGCCGAUACUGACGCUGAGGAGCGAAAGCGUGGGGAGCGAACAGG